CGCCGCCGCCCGCCCAGGCCCCCAUAUCCCGCACGUGCGCCGCCGUCGUCGCCCCCUCUUCUCUUCCUCCCGCCCGCGCCUCCCUGCCCCGCUGCCGUCCAGGGCCAUCCCCACACCGCCGUCAUCUCCUAUUGGAAGCGUGAUACGGAGGCCACCUCCGCCCCCGCGUCCUCUUCCUUCCUCUCCUUCCCGCGGGUCGACGGCGGCAAGGACGGAAGCCGCCGCUGCUCCUCUGCGCCUCUCUCCUCCUCCUGGCCGUCCCUUGUGCUAGCCACUCGCGACCAUGAAGGGCGGCGGAGCCAUCAGUAGCGGCGGCCGUGAGUUAAAGCAGGGCAGAGCGGAGGAGAGGAAGGAGAGCGCAACAGCGUGGGCUCGCCGGCCGACUGGGCCCCAUGGCCGCGUCCUUCUUCUUCCACUCCGUCGCGAGAGACCUCGACGUGAUGCCAAGGUCCACCAUCCCUCUUCUCCUCUCUCUGGCUUCCUUGCUUCGAUUAUAUCCAUACAUUUGAGGCUGUCGUUUUGUUUCUUUUCCUCACGCAGCUGCACAGAAGGGAGAAGCGCAUGCGCCGUCGGGGUUGUGGAUAGCCGCAUCGGGCGGUGUUGGCAUGGGGAGCAGCCGGGCAGGCGCGGCAGCACGGAUGGACCCCGAGGCGGCCACGGAGCUGGCGUGCUCCUCGACGUGCCCCAGCACACCGUCCUCGGCGUCGACACCAGGUGUUCUCGGUCGGCCCCAGGUUCAGAGGGAUCAAGAUGGUGCCCCCAGGCCCGCGUUUCCUCCACUACUGCUCCCCCAGCUGGCACGGGAAUGAGUUUGCACCUACUGUUGGAUUCUUCCUUACUACCCACCCGUCUCAGGUGGUUGUCCGAAGAUGGCAUGCUCAAGAGGAGAGACUACUGACAAUAUCAGAAGAGGAGGCAGAAAAGGCAUACUGAUUCGAAGAUCACCUCAAUUGUUUGGGAUCUGGAUUGUCUAUACAUUUGUUGGUAGUUGGCAGAUCUGGCCCUUCAUAAUUUUGUCCUGAUACCAUGCAGUUCUAUGUACCAUGCAAUUUUUUUCCUCCAUCCCGGUCUCAUGGUGUGAUUAUGAUUUGCUUUCUACAGAUUUUUUAAGUAUCCGAUUGGUUGAGUGCUUUGAAUAUGUACACCUAAGGUAUCUGUUCACCCUUUUGUAUUAUCUAAAACAGUGUGAAUGUUUUAGUACCUUAAUCCUGAAUCGUGUUGUGAUUCAUGGUCUUUAUUUCAAGUGAUAAGAGCUGUGAUUGACUCACUAGGGUGACCAUAUCUUAUUGAGAAGCACCGUAGUAGCCUUUUUGUAAGUGGACAAGAGAUAUCAUUGUUCGUGGUUUUAUACAUUUUUAGAUAAAUGGAUUUACCUAUGCAAGUAACUAUGGUACCUACAUAGACUGCAUGUUUGCUAAUAUUUGCCUUGUGUUUUAGGUCGAAGGGGAAGAUAUUAGAGAUGCCCUCCUAGCAGCAGGAGAAUACUGAUACGUCUCCGUCGUAUCUACUUUUCCAAACACUUUUGCCCUUGUUUUGGACUCUAACUUGCAAGAUUUGAAUAUAACUAACCCGGACUGACGCUGUUUUCAGCAGAAUUGCCAUGGUUUUAUCUUUGUGCAGAAACAAAAGUUCUCCGAAUGACUGAAACUUCACGGAGAUUAUUUUUGGAAAUAAUAAAAAAUAUUGGCGAAAGAAUCAAGGCCAGGGGGUCCACACCCUGUCCACGAGGGUGGGAGGCGUGCCUGACCCCCAGGGCGCGCCCCCUGCCUCGUGGGCCCCUUGCAGCUCCACCGACCUCAACUCCAACUCUAUAUAUUCGUGUUCGGGGAGAAAAAAAUCAGAGAGAAAGAUUCAUCGUGUUUUACGAUACGGAGCCGCCGCCAAGCCCUAAACUCUCUCGGGAGGGCUGAUCUGGAGUCCGUUCGGGGCUCCGGAGAGGGGAAUCCGUCGCCAUCGUCAUCAUCAACCAUCCUCCAUCACCAAUUUUAUGAUGCUCACUUCUGUGCGUUAGUAAUUCCAUCAUAGGCUUGCUGGACGGUGAUGGGUUGGAUGAGAUUUAUCAUGUAAUCGAGUUAGAUUUGUUAGGGUUUGAUCCCUAGUAUCAACUAUGUUCUGAGAUUGAUGUUGCUAUGACUUUGCUAUGCUUAAUGCUUGUCACUAGGGCCCGAGUGGC